AUUAUUACUCCCUCAAUUCUCGAGUAUUAUACUCCUGUAUAUCAUUAUUACUCCUUACAUUUCUUUGCAUUAUACUAUUUUUACUCCCUGAAUUCCUGAGUAUUAUACUUAUAUCAUUAUUACUCCCUGCAUUUCUGAGCAUAAUACUCACUAUCAUUGCCUGUGUCUCUGAGUAUUACUCUCCAGCCCAGCACUAUUAUUCCAUGUGUCUGAGUAUUACUCUCAAGCCCAGCAUUACUCCCUGUGUCUGAGUAUUACUCUCCUGCCCAGUAUUAUUACUCCCUGUGUCUGAGUAUUACUCUCCUGCCCAGUAUUAUUACUCCC